rnacentral:rRNA from 1 species
UAGGGAAUCUUCCACAAUGGGCGAAAGCCUGAUGGAGCAAUACCGCGUGAGUGAAGAAGGUCUUCGGAUCGUAAAGCUCUGUUGUUAGAGAAGAAUAAGAGGUGUAGUAACUGGCACCUCCUUGACGGUAUCUAACCAGAAAGUCACGGCUAACUACGUGCCAGCAGCCGCGGUAAUACGUAGGUGACAAGCGUUGUCCGGAUUUAUUGGGCGUAAAGCGAGCGCAGGCGGUCUUUUAAGUCUGAUGUGAAAGCCCACGGCUCAACCGUGGAUGGUCAUUGGAAACUGGAAGACUUGAAUGCAGAAGAGGAAAGUGGAAUUCCAUGUGUAGCGGUGAAAUGCGUAGAUAUAUGGAGGAACACCAGUGGCGAAGGCGACUUUCUGG